CCAGAAACUCCAAUUCUCUUCACAUGAAGGAGUACUUGUCGGGGUGAAGUUUUAGAGCGGCUGCUGCUAUCCUCUGCAGGACCCUUCUCAGAAAUCACAAUGCAGCUUCAAAAGAGUCUCCAUGCGCCAGGAUGUUAUCCAAGUAGAGCAGACGCUCCUGUCAAGAAAUGACGGCCAGCACUUUCUCCAUCAGCCGCUCAAACGUGGCAGGGGCGUUGUUGCACGGACCAAAGCUGAGACCAUGGAACCGCCAAAACCCUCCCAGACAUGUACACGUUUUCUAUGGAAAUGCUGCAGGCAACAGUUGGUAGUGAACAACGUACAGCACGUAAAUGAGGUGAAGGAGGUCUAACCAGGAGAACCAAGAGGAGCAAGACACAAAAUCCAGAGACUCGUCCACGCAGGGUAGCGGGUAUGAGUCCAUUCUGGCUACAUUGGUCAGUGGUCUGUAGUCCCCAAAGAACUACAAUUUCUAGCUCUUCUUCCUAUUGACCAUUACAGCGUCUGAAGCCUAGGGGACCAAAGAUGCCUGCAUGCAGCAUUAGCUAAAAUGCACCAUCAGCAGCCACCAGGUGUGGCAGGGGAAGGCGGCGGGGGUACAUUUUGAUGGGACGUGCAUCUCUGGUGUCAAUCGGAUUUUUGGACAAGGUGUUCCAUUCCCACCUGUCCCUCAGCUAGUGUAAAAAUAUCCUUUUACACCCACAACACCUGCCAGAGCCCCUCCUCCUGUCCCGGCUGCAUCCCGUUAAAGUGGUGUAGAACACAGUAAAGUCUCAUUAAGCUGUUUACAUGCUAUCACACUGUUGACUAUUUAGUACUAAACUAACAUUUCAUCACUACCAGUGCAGUGAGACUAGAGCUAAACAUGUGUUUUAAACUAAAUAUAAACAACAAAUGAAUGGAAGCAGGAACUAUUUUCUUAAGACUAUCUGCUUGUUUCUGUCUAGAUCUGGCAACGUGGGUUGUUGCAUAACUCCUGAACUUUGGCUGACAUAGAGCAGCAGAAACCUUUAGUCCUGUUAUGAAGGAGAGGGUGGUUUGUUAGCAAACCCCUCAAGAAAAAAUGUGAA